GCUUUGGUAGUUCCGCGGUAGAAUUCUCUUCUUCUGUGUAGGAGACCUGGGUUCAACUCCCAACCAAUGUA
rnacentral:tRNA from 1 species